GGAUCUAUGGAAAGCCAAAGGGGACCCCCGCUAAAAUACAUAUACUUAUAUAGUAAAUAUCGGGAUUUUCAUUUUUCGCGGAACUUUCACUUUCCGCGAAAAACCAAGGCCAGCAUAGCCAUGAAAUACUACAUACAAAUCGAAAUCUAAAAAGCGCGGAACUUUCAUAUAUUUUCCGUCGGAAUAAUUAUCUUUCAACCCCGUAGAGAAAGCGGGCUCAAAUAAUCGCGCGGAACCUUAAUACAAUCUACUCUGUACAAAUAGUAGUGUAUAAAAUCGCGCGGACCUAAUCCACAAAGCGCGGAACUCAAAUAUCUUCCGCGAAAAUUAAGCAUUGAAUUACUGUACAAAUCUCGGGUUGCUAUGUAAAUUGCGGGUUGCUAAUGAAAAAUCGCGCGGAAGAUUCAUUACUCCGCGCGAUUUUCAAUAGCAUUGAAUUACUGCACGAAAUUCGGGUUGCUAUGUGGUUACGCGAUAAAAUUUGAUUUGUUCCGACACCUAGAAAGAACCAAUCAAAACUCGCGUCUUAUCCAGCAUUCAUGCAGUCAUCAUGAUGACGGUUGUUUCACAUUAACACAAAACCUUUUAAGGGCGAAAAAGUGAUCAAUUUUGAUGACAUUAGCAAUGAGCUGUAGCACUGUUCCCAACUUGAACAUCAUCUUCUAUGUACAUACCUGAGGCAGAGCCAGCUUGCCCAUCUGACAUCUGCUGUGGACAACCGAGUCAGAGCCAGCUUGCACGUCAUCUGUUGUGGACAUCGGUGUUAGAGCCAGCUUGCACGUCCUCUAUUGUGGACUGUUAGAGCCAGCUUGCACGUCCUCUAUUGUGGACAUCGGUGUUAGUGCUAGCUUGCACGUCAUCUGUUGUGAACAUCCGUGUAAGAGCCAGCUUGCACGUCAUCUCUUUUGGACAUCAGUAUUAGAGCCAGCUUGCACAUCCUCUGUUGUGGACAUCCGUGUAAGUGCUAGCUUGCACGUAAUCUGUUGUGGACAUCUGUGUUAGAGCCAGCUUGCACGUCAUAUGUUUAGGACAUCAGUCAGAGAUAGCUUGCAUGUUAUUUACUUGUGGACAUUAUUCAGAGCCAGCAAGGACAAUCUCUGUUGUGGAUAUCUGUCUAAGAGCUUGCACGUCAUCGGUUGUUCACAUCCUUGUAAUAACCAGCUUGCACAUCAACUGAUGUGGAAAUCUGAGUCAGAGCCAGCUUGCACAUCAUCCGUUGUGGACAUCUCUUUUUGAUUCUACUCUUUGCUUAGAUUGACACUGUGACUUUAGUGUAAUACGUUACAACCUUAAGCUAUUCCUAUUGUUGAAUAAAAAUAUUGUGUCAUUAAAAUAUAUUUUGUUGUAUAAUUUGUAUGUUGAGUCGUAUUGUUUGGUCAUUGCAAAGUAUCAAGUUAUUUUAAGACAAGAAAAAGCUCAUCUUUCAUCAUGUAUUUAUAUUAAAAUUCUUGAAUGUUAGUGAAGGUACAGUUCAUAUAAUUAAAAGCAAUUGUAAUAUGAUUGCUUGUGUUUUAUUGCACAGUGAAUACCAUCUUGUCUUUAUGCUGACAUAUAGAACGGAGAAAUAGUAAACUGUCGUUUUUAUAUGCAAUGGGAUUGUAUAUCAAGACUUGUGUGUUCAGAUGAAAAAAUUGCCAUAAUUUUUCUCUUUAUAUUUUAUUCCUGCUAAAUGGUUGAUGCAAUAAAGUUAAGUCUUUAA